rnacentral:rRNA from 1 species
AGUGAACGCUGGCGGCAGGCCUAACACAUGCAAGUCGAGCGGCAGCGCGGGGGCAACCCUGGCGGCGAGCGGCGGACGGGUGAGGAAUUCGUCGGAAUCUGCCUUUUUGUGGGGGAUAACGUAUGGAAACUUACGCUAAUACCGCAUACGUCCUCCGCGAGAAAGUGGGGGACCGCAAGGCCUCACGCAGAAAGAUGAGCCGACGACCGAUUAGCUAGUUGGUGGGGUAAAGGCCCACCAAGGCGACGAUCGGUAGCUGGUCUGAGAGGAUGGUCAGCCACACUGGAACUGAGACACGGCCCAGACUCCUACGGGAGGGAGCAGUGGGGAAUAUUGGACAAUGGGCGCAAGCCUGAUCCAGCCAGGCCGCGUGUGUGAAGAAGGCCUUCGGGUCGUAAAGCACUUUUGUCCGGAAAGAAAUCCCUGGAGCUAAUACCUUCGGGGGAUGACGGUACCGGAAGAAUAAGCACCGGCUAACUUCGUG